rnacentral:lncRNA from 1 species
CGUGAAAGAAGAGUGAAAGAGUUGCAGAGAGGGAGAGAACCUCAUAUAGGGAGAGUUUCAGUGAGCUUGUGGAUUGUGAUUAUUGAUCAUACUUGAAGAGAUGAAUGGAUUUAUAGAGUUUGAAUGUAACAAACUCGGGCAACCUAUGAGGCAACUCUGUUAAUGGAGUUAGGGCAGGGUUAUUUCUAAGUGAAAUUGAGAGGGAAGUUUGUUAGAAGUUCAUUAACAGAGUUAAAUCUGUUAGUAAUUUUUCAGUUAGGUGUUAGUUGUAUUGGUUUGAAGGUUGAGUGUAAUUGAA